UUUAUGUUUUUACUUCUCAGUAUGGUGUGUACCGUCAUUUGCUGUAGACCUCUAACAUGGCCUCGAUGAGAGACACAAUGUUAAGGGGGAAUGCAGGCAUAAGGAUGCUCCUCUUGAAACAGCAGAUGUCUAAUGAACUAACCCAUGGACCAGGGCUGGUCCUGACUCCUUGGCGUGAACUGCUACAUACGUAGCCCACAGGCAAAGCACAGGUUGGAUCUUUAUGAACCACUAUUAUAUCUCAGCCAGCCACUGAUGCGGAAGCAGAGAAAUGACAACUCACAAGCAUCAGCAAGGAACUGAUACGCAGUUCACUUCACCUGUUGCCAUCAGGUCCCGAAAGGAAAAUUAUAUUGUGACUGUUUCCUGCAUUGGGUAUUCAUACGUCUCUGGCCAGCAAUGUAUCUGAGCAACUGAAAAACUCCCCAGGAAUUUACUAAUGGCAAGGGAGGGAAAGAAAAAUUUUGAUUACUUCCUCAGUAUAGCAUUAAAAACUGCCAUGGAAAGAACUGAGUCUACAUCUCUCAGGCCUAGUCUUCCAACUGUAAGCCUUUUCCCAGGGGUAGCUGGUUUCUUUUUCUGACUUACAAAUAUACCUAAUCAAAGCUGCAGAAUCAAUCCAGCCUGCCCUGUUUAAGAAGACAAUACAAGAGUCUUGUAUUGUAUUAUAAGAUAAUGAUACGAGAGUCUUACAGGGGAUAGUGCUAAUAUGCGAAACAGCCCUUCUGUCCUCCAGUUUGAAAAUCUAGUCAGGAACAGCGACUGCAAACAAAGGGAAUUCCUACUGUUUCCUCCUAUUUUUUACCGAAAGUGCAGAAACUCCAACUGCAGAGAAACGCUCGUUCCCUUCUGCUCCCGUGCCAAUCCGCCAUUCUCCAGGAUUGGAUCUUGUCACAUCGUGAAACAACUUGUGAAUCAGAGAGGCUGUACCGUAACACAGUGAGCAGGAGGUUUAGUGGGCAGAAGCUCUGUUUCUUUCCCACAAUUUUCAAGGCUUGUUUCAGUGCGUUACUUUUUAUUCAGUACCUACUGUCACUCGGAGAAAUUGCCAAAGAGACACUGUCACACAGGUUACACUGUAUAUUGUAGCUUUACUGUACUUUUCAGAGGAUAAGGUAUAAACAUUCAAUCAGAUGUUGGGAACUGAGGAUAUGGUAUCACAUAAAAAGCCAAUUUUUACCUCUGAGAGGAAAUAAGUACAAUUCUGCUGAUAAAUUGCAGUCAUAUUUCCCAUACCAUGCAAUCAUUGUGAAUUUUAUGCAGUCCAGCUAUUGAGUAGCCAUCAAAAUGCCAGCACAUCCACUCGUAAAUCAUUGAAUGCUCUUGUGGGGUAUUUUCACUGGAUUAGCUACACCUACAAUUAAAGUAGUACUUGACCCAUUGUUAAAUUGGAUUAUAUUCAAAUUCUUAAAGCAAUUAUCUCAAAUACCAAUUUCAUUGCAUAAGCUAGCAUGCAAUUAAAAGAUUAAUACCACAUCCAGACUGCAAUCCUAAGUGACUGAAACAAGAAAAACAAACAUAUUUUUGAACAACUUCUACAAUUAAUGAUAAUAUAGUAAGAAAGUUAAAGAAUUCUCAUUUUCCUUAGAAGUAUUUGAGGUUGAUGAAGUAGGAAAACUUGAUUCACUUUAUACUGUAUAAAAAUAUGGAAAAGGGCAGCAUUAAUUUUAUGAGGCAGUGUUAAAACUCAACUUGCUGCAAAGUGAACCCAUGCCCUUACACAGGAGAAUCUGGAUAUGCUGCCAGUGACAUUGCUGAAUUUUGCAGACCAUCAUCUUAAGAAAUCAUCUCUCAAAGGAACAUUCAUUCCAAUUAUAAUCCCAUAUUUCAUCUAUUACUAUGAGAAAAAGGCUAAGAAAAUGAUGGUGGAUCACUGCCAUUUACAUUUAGAAAUGUAAAUCCUACUUUACACAUGCAGAUCCUAACUGUUUUCAAAACACAGAUGCCCACAUACACUGACGAAAACUCAAGACUUCAGCUUGCAAAUUUAGUACAGGUGUUUGGUUUAAGUGCUUCCAAAAGCCAAAUUCUUUUUCUCUUUGUUCUGGUAAACAUUUCAGUAUUAGCAGCCAUUUAAAAUCGGUUACUCCAAACUUUAUUUGCAUAAAUAAAUGCAUGUGAUCCCAGCAAAAUAAAGCAGCCUCUGCUUCCCGUUUCAGCUAAAGAAGUUUAUAAACUAGUAGGCUUUCACUUUUUAACUUCUUCUAUUAAUGCAUUUUCAGCAGUUCACAAAGCGCAUGGUAAAAUCGAAAAACGUUUUGUUUUAGCCAAGAAUUUUAGGAGGUAGUUUUAUUUAUGUAUUCCAGUAUGUAUUUGCUUUUUUUGUAAUAACAUCAUGUUGUUUAGUCAUGGUCCAGCCUAGAAUCCACUAUGAUCCCGAGAUCUUUUUCUGCAGCACCCCUGCCUGGCCUGUUGUUCCUCACCCGGACGUGUGUAGAUGCUAUCCUGCCACAAAGGAAGCGGCGUUGGUGCUCAGUUUUUCUCAGAUCCUUUUGAUUUCUAAGCCUGAGCUUGAAUGUGUUGACAAUAGCGGUGUCUGCAAAUUCACUGAGUGUAGUCUUUAUCCUACGAUCCAGAUAACUGCUGAAAUUACUGAAAAGGACAUGGCUGAACUAAAACUUUUUGCAGUUAUCCCAUUCAGUACGUUAGUCGGUUUUGACAUUGAACCAUUGUUAAACUGGAAAACUACAUUCAGAAAGAAGUUUUCACCUACGUAUGUUGUAAUUUCAUUUCUACGGCUAUGCUACCUUAGGUUCUCCCGUUACCAUUGUGAUAUCAAAGGGGUAUUGCCCGUACCAAAAGAAGAAAACACAUUUUUGAGUUUUUAAAUCCAAUGCCUUUACUUUGUUGUAUAUGUUGAAUUAAAGACAGCCCUUAUGAGAAGUUAGGGCAAUUUAUCAAUUUUUAAAAGGAAGCACUUUAGCUACUGUGUACACAAAGCACCACUAACUAUUUAAUUAAAAAAAAAUAAAUCUAUAGAUGUGGUUUAAAGAAAUGAGGAUGCAUCAUUUAAUCUUCAUUGCCCUCUUGCAGGAUUUCAGUUAGGAAAUUGUUCAGCCAUACAGAUUUCAUUACUGAAAUCAAUGGAAACAUCAGUUUGUGUAAAAGCUUCUUGCAUAGGAACAAAAAGGCAAGAUUGGCUUUCCUUUUUUUAUUUUUUUAAAACACUGUUUUUGCUUUGUCACUUUUCCACAUUGUUUUCUCUCUACAGGCUCACCAGGCUCCCUCUGGUGGUUACCUAACAAAAACAUUGCUUUGCUUAGGGCCACAUACAAAACCGCAAAUUAAAGACUG